GUAAACGGCGGCCGUAACUAUAACGGUCCUAAGGUAGCGAAAUUCCUUGUCGGGUAAGUUCCGACCUGCACGAAUGGCGUAAUGAUGGCCAGGCUGUCUCCACCCGAGACUCAGUGAAAUUGAAAUUGCCGUGAAGAUGCGGUGUACCCGUGGCAAGACGGAAAGACCCCGUGAACCUUUACUAUAGCUUGACAGUGAACAUUGAGCCUUAAUGUGUAGGAUAGGUGGGAGACAAAGAAGUGUGUACGCCAGUAUGCAUGGAGUCGUCCUUGAAAUACCACCCUUUAAUGUUUGAUGUUCUAACCUAUACUUCUGAAUCGAGGUAAGGGACACUGUCUGGUGGGUAGUUUGACUGGGGCGGUCUCCUCCCAAAGAGUAACGGAGGAGCACGAAGGUUAGCUAAUCCUGGUCGGACAUCAGGAGGUUAGUGCAAUGGCAAAAGCUAGCUUGACUGCGAGAGUGACGGCUCGAGCAGGUACGAAAGUAGGUCAUAGUGAUCCGGUGGUUCUGAAUGGAAGGGCCAUCGCUCAACGGAUAAAAGGUACUCCGGGGAUAACAGGCUGAUACCGCCCAAGAGUUCAUAUCGACGGCGGUGUUUGGCACCUCGAUGUCGGCUCAUCACAUCCUGGGGCUGAAGUAGGUCCCAAGGGUACGGCUGUUCGCCGUUUAAAGUGGUACGCGAGCUGGGUUUAGAACGUCGUGAGACAGUUCGGUCCCUAUCUGCCAUGGGCGUAGGAAAAUUGAGAGGGUUUGCUUCUAGUACGAGAGGACCGAAGUGAACGCACCGCUGGUGUUCGGGUUGUGAUGCCAAUUGCAUUGCCCGGUAGCUACGUGCGGAAUAGAUAAGUGCUGAAAGCAUCUAAGUACGAAACUAGCCUUGAGAUGAGUUUUCCCUGAAGAGAUUCAGUAAGGUCCGUUUGAGACUAAGACGUAGAUAGGUCAGGUGUGUAAGUGUAGUGAUACAUUGAGCUAACUGAUACUAAUGAACCGAGAGUCUUAACCUUACAACUC
rnacentral:rRNA from 1 species